rnacentral:rRNA from 1 species
UGAGGAAUAUUGGUCAAUGGGCGCAAGCCUGAACCAGCCAUCCCGCGUGCAGGAAGACGGCGCUAUGCGUUGUAAACUGCUUUUCCAGGGAGAGAAACUUUCGCACGUUUUGCGCAAUUUACGUUACCCUGUGAAUAAUCAUCUGCUAACUCCGUGCCAGCAGCCGCUGUAAUUCGGAUUAUGCGAUCGUUUUCCGGUUUCUUUUGGUUUAAAUGGUUCGUAGGCGGACUAUUAAGUCAGUGGUGAAAUACUGCAGCUUAACUG